UAGGGGAAGGCAAAUCGGCUACGGCGUCGCCCCGGAAAGGCGAAGGUUGUGGGUUCGAUCCCCACUCCUAG
rnacentral:tRNA from 1 species